rnacentral:rRNA from 1 species
GAUGAACGCUGGCGGCGUGCCUAAUACAUGCAAGUCGAGCGAACGGACGAGAAGCUUGCUUCUCUGAUGUUAGCGGCGGACGGGUGAGUAACACGUGGAUAACCUACCUAUAAGACUGGGAUAACUUCGGGAAACCGGAGCUAAUACCGGAUAAUAUUUUGAACCGCAUGGUUCAAAAGUGAAAGACGGUCUUGCUGUCACUUAUAGAUGGAUCCGCGCUGCAUUAGCUAGUUGGUAAGGUAACGGCUUACCAAGGCAACGAUGCAUAGCCGACCUGAGAGGGUGAUCGGCCACACUGGAACUGAGACACGGUCCAGACUCCUACGGGAGGCAGCAGUAGGGAAUCUUCCGCAAUGGGCGAAAGCCUGACGGAGCAACGCCGCGUGAGUGAUGAAGGUCUUCGGAUCGUAAAACUCUGUUAUUAGGGAAGAACAUAUGUGUAAGUAACUGUGCACAUCUUGACGGUACCUAAUCAGAAAGCCACGGCUAACUACGUGCCAGCAGCCGCGGUAAUACGUAGGUGGCAAGCGUUAUCCGGAAUUAUUGGGCGUAAAGCGCGCGUAGGCGGUUUUUUAAGUCUGAUGUGAAAGCCCACGGCUCAACCGUGGAGGGUCAUUGGAAACUGGAAAACUUGAGUGCAGAAGAGGAAAGUGGAAUUCCAUGUGUAGCGGUGAAAUGCGCAGAGAUAUGGAGGAACACCAGUGGCGAAGGCGACUUUCUGGUCUGUAACUGACGCUGAUGUGCGAAAGCGUGGGGAUCAAACAGGAUUAGAUACCCUGGUAGUCCACGCCGUAAACGAUGAGUGCUAAGUGUUAGGGGGGUUUCCGCCCCUUAGUGCUGCAGCUAACGCAUUAAGCACUCCGCCUGGGGAGUACGACCGCAAGGUUGAAACUCAAAGGAAUUGACGGGGACCCGCACAAGCGGUGGAGCAUGUGGUUUAAUUCGAAGCAACGCGAAGAACCUUACCAAAUCUUGACAUCCUUUGACAACUCUAGAGAUAGAGCUUUCCCCUUCGGGGGACAAAGUGACAGGUGGUGCAUGGUUGUCGUCAGCUCGUGUCGUGAGAUGUUGGGUUAAGUCCCGCAACGAGCGCAACCCUUAAGCUUAGUUGCCAUCAUUAAGUUGGGCACUCUAAGUUGACUGCCGGUGACAAACCGGAGGAAGGUGGGGAUGACGUCAAAUCAUCAUGCCCCUUAUGAUUUGGGCUACACACGUGCUACAAUGGACAAUACAAAGGGCAGCGAAACCGCGAGGUCAAGCAAAUCCCAUAAAGUUGUUCUCAGUUCGGAUUGUAGUCUGCAACUCGACUACAUGAAGCUGGAAUCGCUAGUAAUCGUAGAUCAGCAUGCUACGGUGAAUACGUUCCCGGGUCU